GUGAGCUUGCUUUUCAAGUUCAACACAAGAAAAAGAAUUUCCAGAAUAAGAACUUCCAGCAUAACAAGAGACCUUUCCCACCAGGCAAGAAUCAGCAUGAGAGUGGCCCUUCCAGACCACCUCCACAGAAAGAAUGGGAAAAUUUUCCAGUUCAAAAAGACCAGUGCCUGAAGUGCAAAAAGAGAGGGCACUACAAGAGGGACUGCCCAGAAUUCCUGAAAGAGUUGUUAAGAAAGGGGAUCAAGUAUGAGGAGGACCCUGCCAAGAGGCGCAAGAAGAAUUAAAGUUGCAAACGGUGUAGAAGCUGAAGUCGAAGCCAUUGCAGAAUUUCAUUUAGAAUUACAUAAUGGCUUUGUACUUUGUUUGAGAGAUGUUCUUUAUGUACCGUCUUUGCAACGAAACUUAAUAAGUGUGUCUAAAUUAGAUGAUGACGCUAUUGCUUGUCAUUUUGGUGAUGGCAAGUGUAAGAUACAAGUUAAUUCAGAAUGUGUUGGUCUUGCCUUCCGACAAGACAAAUUAUAUUUGCUUUCAUUA